GGGGGGGUGGUCAGCAAAUCAUUUUCAAGGUCCAAAUCCUCUUCAUUUGGCCCCUGGGUGUGGAGCAACUCCAGGGGAGGUUCCUCCAAACCACCUUCCCAUUGGGGGAUGCUGCUGACGUCUGGGGAAGAUGCGAGCCCUGAGUCCUCAUGCAGCUCCUCGACAAAGCCCUGCAGUGCUCCCGUGCCGGGGUCCCGCAGCGCCCGCACACUGCUGUGCACCGGGGUUGGCUCCAACACAAACAGUGCCCGGGGGGUGGGCACCCGCGUCCAGCACCGUGCUGCGGGGGGGGGCGGGACCCGGCAGCAGUUCGCAGCGCCCGGCGCAGCCCAAUUC
rnacentral:lncRNA from 1 species